rnacentral:sRNA from 1 species
UUGCAGCCCCGAUUGUAGCGGCAUCCUUUUGGCGAGGCGGCGAAGCGAGGCGGCAAAGCGAAGCGGAGCCGACAAAGCCAAAAGAUACAGCGCAAAGCGGGAAUUGUC